ACACACACACACAAAUGUAAAUAAAGUUAUUAUAAGUAUUUAUGAAGAAUGUUGUUUCUUCAUUUUGUAAAAACUUGAGUUCUUUAAACUUAAUUAAAGAAAUGUCAAUAAGUUAUUCAUAUUGACAAGGGGCAGUGAAAGUGCUUGUGUAAGACUACACUGAGGGCAGUGAAAGUGCUUGUGUAACAUUGGGGGGGGGGUCUAUGUGUGUUAUUUAUUUUUGUUUAAAAACAAUAUCUGUUCAACCACCUUGGGGCUGAUUCUGUUUCUCUUUUUUGAAACAAUCUCCCCAGCCUUGGAAAAUAUUCGCUCACAUGGGACAGAAGACGCCUGACAACACAAAAACUUUUGUGAUAGGACAUAUAGAUGGACUGAGGAAACCAAGUGUUUUAAAACGUGGGUCCAGGAGAGUUGGCAAAAUAAUGCAUGAUCCACCAUUUUAAGUAGAGGAAUUAUUUUGGAUGCAGAUACCUGCUUCUCCUCACACAGCUCCACAGUUGCCUCAUAGAAAGGAGACAAAACACCCAGACACUCCCCAAUGUAAAAAUACUCCUCAGAUGUGAGUGGAGAAGUAUCGGUUUGAAGGGAUGCCAUAGUUGCACCCACCGCCUCUCUCAGCUCAUGAAGUCGCUGAAACAUUAGAAAGGUGCUGUUCCAGCGAGUUUCCACUUCUUGUAGCAGUUUCAGAUGUGUUUUCCCUAAGUGUAACUGCAUUUGCACAAGUCUUUCCUGUACAAAAAAUAGGAACAUAAGUAUAUGAGGGACACUUAGAAUGACAUAAUAAAUAAUGUAGUAAAUGUAUUUUACAAUAUUGAUGAUGACAAGACUGACAAGAACAUUAUGUGAAAUGCUAUGUGAAUAUUCUGUGACAUACCUUAGCAGUGGUGCUGCAUCUGAACAAACUUACAAGCUUCCUGGCCUUUGUUCUCAGGUCAGGAAGUCCAGGAGUCUGGUCUAGUGCCUUUUUCACCAUUAAAUUUAAAACAUGUGCAAUACAAACAGAAUGUUUUAAAUUGAGCUCCCUGGCACAUGCCAACAUAUUGGCUGCAGCAUCUGUAACUAGAGAAGUUACUUUGUGUGUAAUUCCCCAUUCUUCCAUGAUAGAAGCCUUUACAGCUGCUAAAUUUGCAGCAGUGUGUGCUUGUGGAAAUUCCUGCACUCCUAAAAGAACAGUAUUAAGUGUUCCCUCAUUUAUGAAAUGGCAUGUAACAGCAAGAUAAGCGUCCAUAUUCAUUGAGGUCCACAUAUCUGCUGUCACGCUUACUGCCACAGCUUUCUUGACCUGGGCCUUAGCUUCCUCUUUGGCCUUUUUGAAUUUUUCUGCCACCAUAGAUUUUAGAGUCUGAAAAUAAAAUGAAAGAUAAUUACAUGUGGAAUUCUUUAUAUAAAUAUUUUGAGUGCAUAUCAAUGAUGACACAUACCUGUCUUGUAGGCAGAAUAUAUGUAGGGUCCAGUUUGUGAACAAAUGCCCUGAACCCUUUAUCCUCUACCAAGGUGAAUGGCUGACAAUCCUUUGCCACCAUAUCAACCAAGGCCUCAUCCAAUUCCUGUUUCCUUGAACCUAAAAAAAAGUGUGUG